rnacentral:rRNA from 1 species
CCUACGGGUGGCAGCAGUGAGGAAUAUUGGUCAAUGGACGCAAGUCUGAACCAGCCAUGCCGCGUGCAGGAUGACGGCUCUAUGAGUUGUAAACUGCUUUUGUACGAGGGUAAUAUCAGAUACGUGUAUCUGCUUGAAAGUAUCGUACGAAUAAGGAUCGGCUAACUCCGUGCCAGCAGCCGCGGUAAUACGGAGGAUCCAAGCGUUAUCCGGAUUUAUUGGGUUUAAAGGGUGCGCAGGCGGGAGAUCAAGUCAGCGGUAAAAUGUCGGGGCUCAACCCCGGCCGGCCGUUGAAACUGGUUUUCUAGAGUUGGAGAGAAGUAUGCGGAAUUCGUGGUGUAGCGGUGAAAUGCAUAGAUAUCACGAAGAACUCCGAUUGCGAAGGCAGCAUACCGGCUCCAUACUGACGCUGAGGCACGAAAGCGUGGGGAUCGAACAGGAUUAGAUACCCGUGUAGUC